rnacentral:lncRNA from 1 species
GAAUGAAGAAGGAAGUGUGGUCACAGAUAACUUGGAGGCUUCUGACGUGGGUCCUGAAUGGAAAGUGAUGUUAUAGAUUGCAAUAGAGAACAGAGAAGGAGUAGCUGGGAGGGAAAACUAUGAGUUUUGUUUUGCAUAUCCUCAGAUCUGAAGUCCAACAGGGCAUCCAAGAGUAAAGGUGGAGAUGAAAUAUAGGUCUGAGGUCAGGAGAGAUUCAGCUGGAGCUGUGACUGGAGAGUGUUGUUGAAGCCUGGAGCCUGAAGGCCAUCUCCCAGCAUGGAGAGGAGACGAAAGAGGGCUGAGGACCGAACCCUGGGAACGCCGUCCCCCAGCCGUGUAAGGAGAAGGAAGAGAGCACUGCCUGAUGGAGAAAGAGCAUUACAGGGAGCCUCAGAAGUGUAAUUGCCUGCCUUUCCUCUACUUCCCUGCUGGCAGAGGUGCUUUUGAUGGACAAAGUGCUUCAGACGCAGUAGGAAAAGAACAAGGGCUGUCCAGAAGAAUGUCAGUCUGAGAUAAAUCGCAUGUCAGGAAGAGAAAAUCCACUGUGUUAAGAACCAUGAAAUCUGUAGGCCCAGACAAAUUAUGUCCUAGGAUGUGGGUUGCAAACUUUUUAGUAGUAUAACUUUUUCAGACAAAUUUUAUAUGAACCCUAAUUUUAA